GCUUCCGGUAAAAGGCCCUGGCGAAAAUCACACGCAGUUAGUGGCAUCGCCAAGGGAACAUUGUCCAUCAUGUCUCUUUGGGCCUCCUGAUGCUCCACUCGAUGUGAGAAUAUGAGGAUCAAUCAAGAGAAGAGACUAACCUCGAGACAGAGCACUAAAUCGAGCAGAAAACAGGAAGGCCUGUCUUGGGCCUCCAUUUGCGUAAACCUACAGACGCCAUCAACUCCUCCAACAGCCAAGGCCUUUUCUGACCACAAGGGGGCGCCCGCAUCAUGCUUUAAUAUAGUACGUGCUUGGGAUGUUGAGAGCGUGGAAGACUGCAGUCUCAAAAUACAGAUAGGGAAACUGAGGCCAGGAGAAAGCAAAGGGUUCCUAAGUCAUUCUGGGUAAUUUUCUUCUCUGUGAUCUUCACUCCCAUUAAAUUGAGUCAUGGCUUCCACCAAGGAAUACGUUUUACGGAUAUUCCUCCGACACCCGGAUGAAGAAUGCUACUUGCAGACCGCCCCACAAGAGGGAGCACCUGUGAGCCUCUGAGCCCUAUACCCACCACGAGCCUUAGACAGAAUGAGCUUCGUACAAGAUUUUGAUCCAGGGAUUCUGGCUGGGAUGUGGAAAUUGCUAGUCUAGGUAGUCUCAGAGGAGACCCACCAUCCAGAAGCUUCCCAGAUCUAAUCCAGAAAUGUCUGCAGCUUCCAACAUCUAGAGAAGCCUCCGUGAAAAAUUCUGCAGGCAACAAGGGUUAAAACCAAGUCGUUCACUUCAGACAGUACUGUCACAAGGCCAAGACAGUCAUCAGGGAUUGUCACUCAGAGUAACGCUGCUAUUUACUCUGCUUGUCCCAAUUAUCCAUCACUGUUUACAAGUAAAGAAAAUGACUGUGAUGUCGACUCUGACAACCUAGAAUGAGCUGGGAAGAAGGUUUUAAUGAGGAAUUAUUUAGAUUAGGUUGGCCUGGGGCUAUGAAGGAGUUUCGUAAUUGGGUGAAUUGAGUUGGGAAGACCAACUCAUGUAGAAAGCAGGAGGCACCAUUUAUGGGACACAUGGCACAUAUGUGUGUACAUGCAUCUGGAAGCCAAGACUCAAUGGGCUCCUUCAUUGCUCUCGUCUGAGUAUUUUUAAAACAAACUCUGUCACGGAACCAGUGUAAAACUGCCUUGUCCACAAGCCCCUGGAAUCCACGCGUCUCUGCUUCCCCAGCCCUAGAAUCACAGGAGAACACCACUGCAGCCAGCUGGUUAGAGGUAUAGACUGUUGCUAUCUAGAAUCAGAAGCUGUGGCAUACUGCAACUGUUUCCAUAGUUCCUGGAGGCUACUUUGUAUCCAUCUUGUUCAUCAAACCCUCAGCUCCUGCUUCACCGUAAGGUGAGUCACCAACGGAUGAGAGGCGGACUUUAAGAGAGAGACAUUGGAGGCCUCCUAUUUCCAAUCUUCCUUAGCCGCCCAAACGAUAAAUCUCA
rnacentral:lncRNA from 1 species